CCGUUGAUUUAUCGAAUUAGCCAACACACAGACGACACGUAGGGGGAUCAGGAUUAUUUAUCGUGCACCGAGGAAGAGGAUACCCUGGACCUUUCUCGUCCCUCUUCAAAACCUCUUCCCUUCUGCUUUCUCUCUCGAUCGAUUGCUCUCGCUCAGCCAUGGCGACUCUCAAGGUUCCGGCUACCGUUCCUUCUCCAUCGGAGGACGCCGAGCAGCUCCGCAAGGCCUUUGAAGGGAUCAUUCCCUGCUUGUUUUCCUUCUCCCUUCGUCUUCUCUCCGGAUCUUAAAGUUGGGGCACAAAUGAGGCGCUGAUCAUCUCCAUCCUCGGCCACCGCACCGCUGCCCGGCGCCGCGCCAUCCGCCAGGCUUACCACCAGACCUACAACGAGGACCUCCUCAAGUCCCUCGACGGAGAGAUCUCCGGCGACUUCGAGAGAGCUGUGCUGCUGUGGACCCUGGAUCCGGCGGAGAGGGAUGCGUGGCUGGCGAACGAGGCGGUGAGGAAGUGGCGCCCCGGGAACCGGGUGUUGAUCGAGAUAGCCUGUGCGAGGAGUUCCAGGGAGCUGUUUGCGGUGAGGCAGGCGUACCAUGCGCGGUUUAAGAGGUCUCUCGAGGAGGAUGUGGCGGCCCACACCACUGGGGAUUUCCGUAAGUCCAAGUGUUGAUUUGUUCUUGAAAGCACAAGAGGGAGAGUGGAAUGUCCAUAUUUAGCUGCCACUUCUUGCUUAUCAUUGGGAUUCCUUUUUAAGAACUUUCUGCUAAAAAGGUAGGUAACUAGACUUAUAUACUGAGGUGCUUCUUGGUCGCUUGCAUCGCUAAAUGUUGUCCUUGGACUAGGGUAGUUGUACUAUAGGUCAUGGGGAAUAGACUUCUGGUCUCCAGCGCCCCUCUUUUUUUCUGGCGUCUUGCUUUGAGACCUUCAGCUCAAUGCGAUUAAGUGGUAGAGUAAGGUGAUGGUUUUGUUAGUUGGUGUAGUGAAGGUGGUUAUACCAUCAUUACAUUGAAUACUGACCACCUGCAAUGGAAGAUGUUUCCAUCCAGAAGCUUAAGCAAAACAGGAUUAGCAGACUGUUUGCUGAAAGAUGUUCACUUUGUAAGCCGGUUACCAAAAGUUGUUCAGUUUCAGACCCUGUGUUAAUUGUCUGUUAAAGCAUAAGUAUUUUCCUGCGGCGCCCAAUCUCUCACACUUUUGAGAGGGGGUAAACUAUUGAUGUAGAAUUGAACAAAAGAAAAACAGAAUAAAGAGCAACUAUAGAAAGCAAUGAGAUCUUAUUUUGUGGGUUAUUCACUAGAGGUCAUUCAGUGUUUCAGCUUUUGGUGCCACUUGUAAGUGCAUACCGCUAUGAAAAUGCAGAGGUCAACUUGACUUUGGCAAAAUCAGAAGCCAAGAUGCUGCAUGAGAAGAUCUCUGGUAAGGCCUACAACCAUGAAGACCUUAUUAGGAUCCUUGCUACGAGGAGCAAGGCACAACUGGUUGCAACAUUUAAUUACUACAAUGAUGAGUUUGGUAAUUCAGUUAACAAGGUAAACACACUUCUUUUAGUUAAGCUUUUCCUUCAUUAACCAAUGUCGGUGCUUAAUUUCUCAUACGAGGAGUUUAUUAGUUGAUUCUUGAUAGCUGUACUGAUUAUGUUCAUUCUUAGUAUUUGUUGAUUCUCAGCCAUGAUAAGUGUGCUGUUUAUGUGUUAUUGUCAUAUGGUUUCCUUUUUCAAUUCCUCUUUUUUUUGUUGUCUGUUUCUAAAUUUCAUCUUGUAGUCCUUGCUUUUUCACCUUAAAAGAAAAUUGUGCAAAUUCUUGGUUCUUUUUUGCUCCAAUAGAUGUUUACACCUUUAUUCUUUAAAAUUUUCUUGUAUGUUUCAUUCUAUAUAAUUUUUCAUUCAUUCCUACAUGGUGCUAUAUGCUUUGCCAUUUGAAGCUUUUCCCUCCACCCAUCUUUAUGACAUUCACCAAGGCUAAUCAGAUACCCCUGUGCUCCAUGUCAAAGUUCGAUGAGGUAAUUUGAGGCACUAUUAUGCUCUUCCUGCUAAUAGCUAUCCGACCUUAUUUGGCUUGUUGAGCACUUUAACCUUAAUCUGUGUCACUCCUUAUCUGAUAAUAAUACUUCUUUGAAAUUGGCAAACACCUAUGUUUAGAUCCUUACAUCUAUAGUUAGUGGAUAAAAUCUUCUGCCUCAAUGUUGUAGACUCUUUGGAACCUUUUCUUCUUUUUUUUUUCAAAUUCUCCCAGUGCUCCACAUCCGCUUUCCUGCACCUGAAUCUGUUCACACCUGCUCUUGAUUCAGACAACAAAGCUUCUAUAAUGUGUCUGUGAUUGAAUUAUGAAUCUUUUGCUGCAUGCCAACUUUCUGGCAGCGACAGCAUUUCUCUACUCCAUCCAACCUGUUCAUGUUUUAUUAGUUACGUCAGAAUCAUUGUGGAAAGAAUUUUCCCCUAAUCACUAGUGGAAUUUCUCUCUAAAAACUAAAAAUUGGAUGGAAUCUAAACUGUUGUCUUGCUGCAUUUAACAUCCCAAAAGCUGCAUCCCAACUUCUAUUGUUGAGCUUCUUCCUAUCUGGGUUUUGGCUUGGUUUCACAGGAUUUAAAAUGUGAUCCCAAGGAUGAGUUCCUUGCUGCACUGAGGGCCGCCAUUCGUUGCAUUUGCUUCCCUGAAAGAUAUUUUGAGAAGGUCAUUCGGUCGGCGAUAAACGGGCUGAGAACGG